rnacentral:rRNA from 1 species
CAGCGCAGGGUAGCAUUACAUGGGCGGAGACCGGCAAACGGGUGCGGAACACGUACGCACCCUUCCUUCAAGCGGGGAAUACCCCAGAGAAAUUUGGAUUAAUCCCCCAUACCACUGUCCGGUGGCCUCUUUGGACAGAUAAAGAUUUAUCACUUGAAUAUGGGCGUGCGUCUGAUUAUGUAGGUGGAGAGGUAACGGCUCACCAACCCGACUAUCAAUAUCUGGCGUGAGAGCGCGACCACUCACACGGGCUCUGACACACGGCCCCGACUCCUACGGGAGGGAGCAGUAAAGAAUAUUGGUCAGUGGACGGAACUCUGAACCCCCCGUGCCGCGUGGAAGAUGAAGGUCCUCUGGAUUGUAAUCUUCUUUUAUUUGACACGAAGUGAUCUUUUUCUAAAGGUUUUGACGGCACCAUAUGAAUAAACCCCGGAUAUCUCCGUGCCCACCCCCGCGAUAAUACAGAGGGUGCACGCUUUAUCCAGAUUCUGUGGGUUUAAAGGGUGCAUACGCGGACAUUUAACUCCGUGGAGAACUCUCCGGUCUUACCCCGAAAACUGCCAUGGAUACUAUUUGUCUUGUAUGCUGUAGAGGUUAGCAGAAUAUGUCGUGUAGCGGAGAAGUGCAUAUAUAUGACAUAGAACACCAAGUGCAAAGGCAUCUGGCUACACAGAUAGUGACGCUGAGGCACGAAAGCGUG